rfam:Clostridium leptum CAG:27 genomic scaffold, scf143
GGGGAUGUAAAGGUUUCGACGGGGAUUGUGAGCAAAGGUAAGCGAGUAGUGGAGGCGGAUACACUUUAAACUUCGCACGUUUCAAAAUAAACGACAAAACUCAAAAAACCAAUAACGUUAUUUCCUUUAAUAGGAGCGUAGCGUUAGCAGCUUAAUUACAGCUGCCGUCCUUAACCGUGAGUACCGCGGCUCGGAUAGGGGCGUAACCUAAGCGGUGAACGUGAACCGGAAACCGCCUCGUUUUCGGUCAUGAUUAAGAGGCUACUGAAGCGCUGAGCCCGCCAUUUGGCGCGGCGCAGAGGGAAUUUUAAUAAGAUGGCUACACUCGUAGAAGGCUUUUGUAAGCGGUUUUCGGACAGGAGUUCGACUCUCCUCAUCUCCACCA